GGAUCCGCAACCCGGCAGACAACUGCCCCAGGGUACCCAACUCAGACCAGAAGGACAGCGACAGUGAUGGCAUAGGGGACGCCUGUGACAACUGUCCCCAGAAGAGCAACCCAGACCAGAGGGAUGUGGACCACGACUUUGUGGGAGACGCGUGUGACAGUGACCAAGACCAGGAUGGGGACGGGCACCAGGACUCUCGGGACAACUGCCCCACGGUGCCCAACAGUGCCCAGCAGGACUCCGACCACGACGGCCAGGGCGACGCCUGUGACGACGAUGACGACGAUGACGGGGUCCCGGACAGUCGAGACAACUGCCGCCUGGUGCCCAACCGAGGCCAGGAGGACUCG